CCUACGGGAGGCAGCAGUGGGGAAUAUUGCACAAUGGGCGCAAGCCUGAUCCAGCCAUGCCGCGUGUGUGAAGAAGGCCUUCGGGUUGUAAAGCACUUUUAUCGGGAAGGAAAU
rnacentral:rRNA from 1 species